AGUGAACGCUGGCGGUAUGCCUAACACAUGCAAGUCGAACGGCAGCACAGUAAGAGCUUGCUCUUACGGGUGGCGAGUGGCGGACGGGUGAGGAAUACAUCGGAAUCUACUUUUUCGUGGGGGAUAACGUAGGGAAACUUACGCUAAUACCGCAUACGACCUACGGGUGAAAGCAGGGGAUCUUCGGACCUUGCGCGAUUGAAUGAGCCGAUGUCGGAUUAGCUAGUUGGCGGGGUAAAGGCCCACCAAGGCGACGAUCCGUAGCUGGUCUGAGAGGAUGAUCAGCCACACUGGAACUGAGACACGGUCCAGACUCCUACGGGAGGAAGCAGUGGGGAAUAUUGGACAAUGGGCGCAAGCCUGAUCCAGCCAUACCGCGUGGGUGAAGAAGGCCUUCGGGUUGUAAAGCCCUUUUGUUGGGAAAGAAAAGCAGCAGGUUAAUACCCCGCUGUUCUGACGGUACCCAAAGAAUAAGCACCGGCUAACUUCGUG
rnacentral:rRNA from 1 species